rnacentral:rRNA from 1 species
AGAGUUUGAUCCUGGCUCAGAAUCAACGCUGGCGGCGUGCCUCAGACAUGCAAGUCGAACGGGAACCUCCCUUCGGGGAGGGGAAAGUGGCGCACGGGUGAGUAACACGUGGGUAAUUUACCUUUGGGUGGGGAACAACAGCCGGAAACGGCUGCUAAUACCGCAUAAUGCAGCGGCUCGACAUCGAGACAGUUGUUAAAGCGGGGGAUCGCAAGACCUCGCGCCUAAAGAGAAGCCCGCGGCAGAUUAGCUAGUUGGUAGGGUAAUGGCCUACCAAGGCAACGAUCUGUAACCGGCCUGAGAGGGCGGUCGGUCACACUGACACUGACAUACGGGUCAGACUCCUACGGGAGGCAGCAGUCGGGAAUUUUGGGCAAUGGGCGAAAGCCUGACCCAGCAACGCCGCGUGAAGGAUGAAGCUUUUCGGAGUGUAAACUUCACAAGAAUGGGAAGAAUAAGUUUAGGAUAAUACCCUAAACGAUGACGGUACCAUUUGUAAGCUCCGGCUAACUCCGUGCCAGCAGCCGCGGUAAUACGGGGGGAGCAAGCGUUGUUCGGAUUUACUGGGCGUAAAGGGCGCGUAGGCGGCGCGACAAGUCACUUGUGAAAUCUCUGAGCUCAACUCAGAACGGUCAAGUGAUACUGUCGUGCUAGAGUGCGGAAGGGGCAACUGGAAUUCUUGGUGUAGCGGUGAAAUGCGUAGAUAUCAAGAGGAACACCUGCGGCGAAGGCGGGUUGCUGGGCCGACACUGACGCUGAGGCGCGAAAGCUAGGGGAGCGAACGGGAUUAGAUACCCCUGUAGUCC